rnacentral:rRNA from 1 species
AUCACUAAGCGGAGGAAAAGAAACUAACAAGGAUUCCCCCAUUAACGGCGAGUGAAGUGGGAAUAGCCCAGCACCGAAUCCCUCAGCCUUGCGCUGCCGGGACCUGUGGUGUUUGGGACGACCGCUGUCGUGUUGUUCGGGUGCCCAAGUCCUCCCGAUCGGGGCCUCUCCCACAGUGGGUGUUAGGCCUUUACCGGCACUCGUCGACACGGCUAUGGUCGUCCUCGGAGUCGGGUUGUUUGGGAAUGCAGCCCAAAGCUGGUGGUAAACUCCAUCUAAGGCUAAAUACUGACACGAGUCCGAUAGCGGACAAGUACCGUGAGGGAAAGUUGAAAA